rnacentral:rRNA from 1 species
UGGGGAAUAUUGGGACAAAUGGGAGGCAACUCUGAUCCAGCCAUGCCGCGUGAAGGACUAAGGCCCUAUGGGCUGUAAACUUCUUUAGACGCAGAGCAAUAAGGGCCACGCGUGGUCCGAUGAGAGUAUGCGUAGAAUAAGCAUCGGCUAACUCCGUGCCAGCAGCCGCGGUAAUACGGGGGGAUGCGAGCGUUAUCCGGAUUCAUUGGGUUUAAAGGGUGCGUAGGCGGCUUUGCAAGUCAGCGGUGAAAGGCCCGGGCUCAACCCGGAAAGUGCCGUUGAUACUGUGAGGCUGGAAUGCGGAUGCUGUGGGAGGAAUGAGUGGUGUAGCGGUGAAAUGCAUAGAUAUCACUCAGAACA